GCCCAGGUAGCUCAGUUGGUAGAGCAGUGGACUGAAAAUCCUCGUGUCGGUGGUUCGAAUCCGCCCCUGGGCA
rnacentral:tRNA from 1 species